rnacentral:rRNA from 1 species
ACAACUUUCAGCAACGGAUCUCUUGGCUCUCGCAUCGAUGAAGAACGCAGCGAAAUGCGAUAAGUAAUGUGAAUUGCAGAAUUCAGHGAAUCAUCGAAUCUUUGAACGCACCUUGCGCUCCUUGGUAUUCCGAGGAGCAUGCCUGHUUGAGAGYCAUGAA